rnacentral:rRNA from 1 species
GAUGAACGCUGGCGGCGUGCCUAAUACAUGCAAGUCGAGCGAACGGACGAGAAGCUUGCUUCUCUGAUGUUAGCGGCGGACGGGUGAGUAACACGUGGAUAACCUACCUAUAAGACUGGGAUAACUUCGGGAAACCGGAGCUAAUACCGGAUAAUAUUUUGAACCGCAUGGUUCAAAAGUGAAAGACGGUCUUGCUGUCACUUAUAGAUGGAUCCGCGCUGCAUUAGCUAGUUGGUCAGGUAACGGCUUACCAAGGCAACGAUGCAUAGCCGACCUGAGAGGGUGAUCGGCCACACUGGAACUGAGACACGGUCCAGACUCCUACGGGAGGCAGCAGUAGGGAAUCUUCCGCAAUGGGCGAAAGCCUGACGGAGCAACGCCGCGUGAGUGAUGAAGGUCUUCGGAUCGUAAAACUCUGUUAUUAGGGAAGAACAUAUGUGUAAGUAACUGUGCACAUCUUGACGGUACCUAAUCAGAAAGCCACGGCUAACUACGUG